rnacentral:rRNA from 1 species
AGCAGUCGCCGCGGUAAUACGUAGGUGGCAAGCGUUGUCCGGAAUUAUUGGGCGUAAAGGGCUCGCAGGCGGUUUCUUAAGUCCGAUGUGAAAGCCCCCGGCUCAACCGGGGAGGGUCAUUGGGAACUGGGAAACUUGAGUGCAGAAGAGGAGAGUGGAAUUCCACGUGUAGCGGUGAAAUGCGUAGAUAUAUGGAGGAACACCGGUGGCGAAAGCGGCCCUCUGGCUUGUAACUGACGCUGAGGCUCGAAAGCGUGGGGAGCAAACAGGAUUAGAUACCCCAGUAGUCCCUGUCUCUUAUAC